AAGAUUUAUCGGAAUUGGAUGAGCCCGCGUUGGAUUAGCUAGUUGGUGAGGUAACGGCUCACCAAGGCGACGAUCCAUAGCUGGUCUGAGAGGAUGAUCAGCCACACUGGGACUGAGACACGGCCCAGACUCCUACGGGAGGCAGCAGUGGGGAAUAUUGGACAAUGGGCGCAAGCCUGAUCCAGCCAUGCCGCGUGAGUGAUGAAGGCCUUAGGGUUGUAAAGCUCUUUCAGUGGGGACGAUAAUGACGGUACCCACAGAAGAAGCCCCGGCUAACUUCGUGCCAGCAGCCGCGGUAAUACGAAGGGGGCUAGCGUUGUUCGGAUUUACUGGGCGUAAAGCGCACGUAUGCGGAUCGUUAAGUCGGGGGUGAAAUCCUGGAGCUUAACUCCAGAACUGCCUUCGAUACUGGCGAU
rnacentral:rRNA from 1 species